AGUGGGCUGUAAACCAGUUACAAAGUGGAGGCUUUGGCCCAAAAACAACAGAAACCGACUUUUACCACCUCAACAAUUAAAACCCAGUCAAACCCUAGAAAAACCCUAACUCCCCCAAUCUCUCUCUCUCUUAUAAAUUCGAUUCCCAGAUCCUUUUCAAUUCAUUGUCUCCGCCUCUCUUCUAUUCAUCAGAUUUCCUCUCUCUCUUUCACCGAUUUUUCUGGUAUUUCUAUUUUUUUUUACGAUUUUGGUACUUCUAUAUUAUUUUACGAAAAUUAGGGUUUUAAUGCUUCCGAUUUGGGGGAGAAUUACAGUGACGACUUCACAAAUUCAAGCUCAACAGACCGGAUUGCAGGAAUUUCUCACUCUUGAGAUUUCUUUUGCGUGUCGAAAACCCCGCUGAACUGAGUGAUGGAAAUGAUGAUUAUUUCCCCAGAUGAUCGAAGCUGAAAUCACUGAGCGUUUUAAUUUCUCAUUUAUGAGAAGUCAAGCCAGUAUUCUGAUCCAUCUCUUUGACUAUUAUUCAUUGUAGCUGUGUAUUUAGUUUUUUUUUUUUUAUUAGUUGUUUAUGUUUCUUUUGUCAUCGGAAAUUCUACACUGGCAUGAAUUGGGACAUGGGACUGUAUCUCAUUGAACAGAACUUGGGACAUGUGACAUUAUCUUAAUGAGCAUGAACAUGGGACAUGGACAUUAUCUUUGAGCAUGAAUGACUGAGCUAUAGUUGUUGCAUACAUGGACUUUGGAGCAAUAUCUUCCGUGAAAAAUUGAAGGUGGUUUUAGUGAUAAUCUGGUAUAUUGAUUUUUAACUUUUGAUUGGAUAAAUGAUGUGGUAAUUAAACUGCGUUAUCUUCCUGCAAUUUCCUAUUAUAAAGGGAUUGAAGAAAAUUAAGUUGCACUGAUAUCCAAGUAACCUGGUGUAUUUUUACAAGUUUGUGUUGUCUUGUCAAACAAAAGAGAAUUGGGCAUCAAUGAAGAGUAAAAUCCUAUGUUAUCCUUGCACAUUGAUAUACAGUGAUGAAAUUAUGGGGGAAUUUGAUCUGAGAUGCUUUGAGUAUUUUAUUUCCUUGUUGAUUUUACAGUAUUUUUUCUACUAUCAAUUUUUAUUAAAUUUUUUUGCUACUAAUAUAUUAAAUGUGACGGAGAUUUGUCCGAAAAUCUCAUUUUCAUACUAAAAAUUGGGGCAAAUUUGUUUGUUAAUAUUUGUAAAUCCCAAAUUGGAACGUCACAAAGUAAGUUAACUUGAUGUUGAGAAUCCUUCUGGGUUUUCCGUCAAUUUAACGGUUAACGGUUUCAUAUUCCAUGAUCUUGAGUAGCGGCGUUGCCGCAAUUAUCUGUUGGGUCAGGCCAUGAGAGUCAACAUUCCCUCGUAUUUUAUAAAAAUUUAUUUUCUGAAAUUAUGAUUUUCAAAUUGUUUUUGUUUUCUUAUUUCUAACUGUUGUUACUGUACAUUCUAUGGAAUUUAAAAUUUUAGUAUAAGUUGCAAAUGAUGAUAAAACUAGACAGGGACAUCAGAAACUCUUCGGAGUACAUUUGUGUUGAUUUGUCUUAAGAUGGGAAUCUCUUUGAUGCACUUUAAAUCAAUCUAAUUUAUCUAUGGCAACAAAUUAGAGUCUCUGGUUCGCUUUGUUAAUAGCGUCUUUAGCGCUUUACGUUGCCGAUACUAGUUUGGAAUAAGACAUUCUGGCAUUUCCAUGUUUUUCAAUGGUUGAUGCAUUCAAAUGUUUCUACAUUUCAUCAAUUAAGAUUUAUGUAGUAGUAUCUGGAAUAGUUUUUUUUUUUUUUUUUUUUGUGCUAGAGUGAUCUGUGUUGAGGAGAUGGAAGUGAUGAUUAUUUCCCCAGAUGAUCGAAGUUGAAAUCACUGAGCGUUUUUAAUUCUCAUUAUUGAUAAUUCAAGCCAGAAUUCUGAUCCAUCUCUUUUUCCAUUUUUAAUUGAAGAUCUGUUAGGUUUUGUUUGUUACUGUAUGUUUUUCUAUGUGAUAUAAUAUGUCACCAAGUCUCGGUACUUCAGAGGCACGACUCAGGGAUACGAACAUUAUCUAUCAAGGUUGGGUAUCAGGACUUGAGAUGGACAUUGCAGGAUUUUUAGUGUAUACAGUGUAGGAAGUUUGAAAUACUAUGAGUGUUCUGACGUCUCGGACCUCGGUGUCUAGUUCUGCUUAAGGGGCCCUGAUGAUUAGUCCUUGGAUCAUAUUUCUGUGAGCAAAUGUACGUGCAUAACCUGAAAAAUGAAGAGAUGUUGCUUUGAAGAUAGCAGCAUGUUUCUCACUCUUUAGGAGUUUGUUCUAGUUUCAUUAACUAUGUUUACUUACUAGGAAGUUCACUAAGUAAUGAAGUGUGAAGUAUCUUCAGUUGGGCUAGUGUUCUGAUAUCUUGGACUUUGGUGUCUAAUUUUGCUUAAAGAUUCAAUUGCUAAUGAUGAUCAUUUUCUGUGAGCAAUAGUACAUGCAUAAUCUGAGAUCUUGAUUUGAACAUCACUAGCAUAUUUCUCCUCAUUAGGAGGUUGUACUUGAUUACUUAUUUAUUAUGAUAAUUCAAUUCAUUUGUAGUUGUUGGUUUA